rnacentral:lncRNA from 12 species
AAAAAAAAAAAAGAAAGUAACAACAAGGUCCUUGAUAUCUCCUGGCCUAGACUUAGAUACAAUCUCAGGCUUCUGUUUGACCUACACUUUUUCAGUAUUAAUUUAAGUGAAGUGAAAUCGAGCUCUACUGUGUCAGCAAUAAAAGACAGACUAAGCCUUUGAACUUGACUUCUAGUCUACUUGACUCCACAGCACACCAUGGCUUCAAACAGCUUGUUUGGUGGAAUGUACCAACUUGAGCAUUUUCCCUACCAAUUUGCUUAUUGAAGGGAUUGUUUUUGCACUUUGAAGACAUACCUUCAGUUUAAAAAAAUCCACGUAAGAAUGGAUAAAACUAGGAACAAAACAAUGAACUUUACCAGAGUUUUCAUUUUCAACUCGCCACAGUGGCAGUGUGUAACGUAAUUACAGAGAAUGCUCCCUUUAAAAUUGUGAAGGAUCUGCCUUUAUGAGAGAAAUGGCUAGCCAUGGUAGAGAGAACAGCGUCACCAUUUUUGACUUUACUGUGAUUUAGUUUCUUCACCUAAUGGGAUUGUUGUGGAAAUCAAAAGACAUAAAAAGUGUGACUUGUACUCUAAAAAACCUUAAGGUGGUAUGCAAGUAUGAGGUAUUACUGUUAAUAAUUCUCAGUAAAGACUGGCCAGGAUUUUAAGUUCUUAUCCUUGCUGUGCCACUUUUUAUUACCCAUUGCUUAAAACCCUGCCCCUCUGGCCUUACUUCAGACCUUGUAAACUUGGGCCUCCUCAAAACACUUAAUCACCCAUCACAUAAAGUUUUAAUUCACGGUGCCAAACUAUAAAGCCAUUUCUAGAACCAUUCUGUCCGAUUACCGUGCGCCCUUUAACACCCUGCUCUUGGUUUAAACCUUUUCCUUUGAGUUUAACUAUAUCUUUUUGUUUUUGGCCAGGAAUUUGCAGAGGUGAAAUUGUCCAGGAAAUCGUUUUCCCAGAUGCUCUGUUUUCUGAUUUGAUGUUAGAGAAGCUGUCCUCCGAGGUGAACAUGGAAACUCACUGCACCUCAGACUGUCCCAGGAUACUUAUAUCUCAACAUUGAGUCAAAGUUAGCACACCAGGUCUUCCUGU